AGAGCGUAAUUUUUACAGUAGAAAUGUCAAACGCGCAGUUCGAAAAUGCAGUGUGUCGUAAGCGAAUGUAUUUUUCCGAAGCGACGCAGCUGAAAAACACGCGAACACAUCGUCUCCGGGGUAGGCUACGGUCAUGGAUUAGCAGGCGGGAGUACGGAGGAUCGUAUCGGAUGAUCCAGGGCCUAAAAAUUAUGCGAAAUAGAGUACACAGCGCGCAUUAAAAAAACUAUCAAAUUAUGCAAUAUCCAAUGU